AUUGAACGCUGGCGGCAUGCCUAACACAUGCAAGUCGAACGGCAGCACAGUAUGUAGCAAUACAUAUGGGUGGCGAGUGGCGGACGGGUGAGUAACGCGUGGGAAUCUGCCCUAUAGUGGGGGACAACCCGACGAAAGUCGGGCUAAUACCGCAUACGCCUACGGGGAAAGGCUUCGGCCGCUAUUGGAUGAGCCCGCGUCGGAUUAGCUAGUUGGUGAGGUAAUGGCUCACCAAGGCGACGAUCCGUAGCUGGUCUGAGAGGACGAUCAGCCACACUGGGACUGAGACACGGCCCAGACUCCUACGGGAGGCAGCAGUGGGGAAUAUUGCACAAUGGGCGAAAGCCUGAUGCAGCAAUGCCGCGUGUGUGAAGAAGGCCUGCGGGUUGUAAAGCACUUUCGACGGGGAAGAUGAUGACGGUACCCGUAUAAGAAGCCCCGGCUAACUUCGUGCCAGCAGCCGCGGUAAU
rnacentral:rRNA from 1 species